CCUACGGGAGGCAGCAGUGAGGAAUAUUGGACAAUGGACGAGAGUCUGAACCAGCCAAGUAGCGUGAAGGAUGACUGCCCUAUGGGUUGUAAGCUUCUUUUAUAUGGGGAUAGAACGUUCCACGAGUGGGCUUUUGUAUGUACCUUAUGCAUAAGGAACGGCUAACUCCGUUCCAGCAGCCGCGGUAAUACGGAGGAUCCGAGCGUUGUCCGGAUUUAUUGGGUUUAAAGGGAGCGUAGGUGGAUUGUUAAGUCAGUUGUGAAAGUUUGGGGCUCAACCGUAAAAUUGCAGUUGAAACUGGCAGUCUUGAGUACAGUAGAGGUGGGCAGAAUUCGUGGUGUAGCGGUGAAAUGCUUAGAUAUCACGAAGAACUCCGAUUGCGAAGGCAGUUCACUGGACUGCAACUGACACUGAGGCGCGAAAGUGUGGGUAUCAAACAGGAUUAGAUACCCCUGUAGUC
rnacentral:rRNA from 1 species